rnacentral:rRNA from 1 species
UACGGGGGGGGUAAGCGGUUGUUCGGAAUUACUGGGCGUAAAGGGCUCGUAGGCGGCCAACUAAGUCAUACGUGAAAUCCCUCAGCUUAACUGGGGAACUGCGUGUGAUACUGGAUGGCUUGGAUUUGGGAGAGGGAUGCGGAAUUCCAGGUGUAGCGGUGAAAUGCGUAGAUAUCUGGAGGAACACCGGUGGCGAAGGCGGCAUCCUGGACCGACACUGACGCUGAGGCGCGAAAGCUAGGGGAGCAAACGGGG